AGUGAACGCUGGCGGUAUGCCUAACACAUGCAAGUCGAACGGCAGCACAGUAAGAUUUUGCUCUUACGGGUGGCGAGUGGCGGACGUGUGAGGAGUACAUCGGAAUCUACUUUUUCGGGGGGGAUAACGUAAGGAAACUUACGCUAAUACCGCAUACGACGUACGGGUGUAAGCAUUGGAUCUUCGCACCUUGCGCGAUUGAAUGAGCCGAUGUCGGAUUAGCUAGUUGGCGGGGUAAUGGCCCACCAAGGCGACGAUCCGUAGCUGGUCUGAGAGGAUGAUCAGCCACACUGGAACUGAGACACGGUCCAGACUCCUACGGGAGGCAGCAGUGGGGAAUAUUGGACAAUGGGCGCAAGCCUGAUACAGCCAUACCGCGUGGGUGAAGAAGGCCUUCGGGUUGUAAAGCCCUUUUGUUGGGAAAGAAAAGCAGCAGGUUAAUACCCCGCUGUUCUGACGGUACCCAAAGAAUAAGCACCGGCUAACUUCGUG
rnacentral:rRNA from 1 species